rnacentral:rRNA from 1 species
UUCCGGUUGAUCCUGCCGGACCCCACUGCUAUCGAGGUGGGACUAAGCCAUGCUAGUCGAACGAACAGAACUAUGUCUGUAAGUGGCGUACUGCUCAGUAACACGUAGCUAACCUACCCUUAGGACGUUUAUAACCCCGAGAAAUUGGGGCUAAUGAACGAUAGAUGUGAUGUCCUGGAAUGGUAUUACGUCUAAAUGUAUCUCAUACAUGUUUGGUAUACGCCUAAGGAUGGGGCUGCGGCCGAUCAGGCAGUUGGUGAGGUAAUGGCUCACCAAACCUUUGACCGGUACGUGCCAUGAGAGUGGUAGCCCGGAGAUGGACACUGAGACAAGGGUCCAGGCCCUACGGGGCGCAGCAGGCGCGAAACCUCCUCAAUGCACUAACGUGCGAAGGGGUUACCUCGAGUGCUAUCUGAAAAAGGUGGCUUUUCCUUGGUCUAAAACGCCUUGGGAAUAAGAGGGGGGCAAGACUGGUGUCAGCCGCCGCGGUAACACCAGCCCCUCGAGUGGUGGGGAUGAUUAUUUGGCCUAAAGCGUCCGUAGCCGGCCGGAUAAGUUUCCCGUUAAAUCCAACGUCUCAAGCGUUGGACUGCGGGAAAUACUGCCUGGCUAGAGAGUGGGAGAGGUCAGCGGUAUUCUGGGGGUAGGGGCGAAAUCCUUUGAUCCCCGGAGGACCACCAGUGGCGAAGGCUGCUGACUAGAACACGUCUGACGGUCAGGGACGAAAGCUGGGGUAGCGAACCGGAUUAGAUACCCGGGUAGUCCCAGCCGUAAACGAUGCAUGCUAGGUGUUGGGUUGGCCACGAGCCACCCCAGUGCCGCAGGGAAGCCGUUAAGCAUGCCGCCUGGGAAGUACGAUCGCAAGGUUGAAACUUAAAGGAAUUGGCGGGGGAGCACCACC